rnacentral:tRNA from 3 species
CGCGGGGUAGAGCAGUUCGGUAGCUCGUCGGGCUCAUAACCCGGAGGUCGUAGGUUCAAAUCCUGCCCCCGCAACCA